rnacentral:rRNA from 1 species
CACAUAAGACAUGCAAGUCGAACGGAAGUCGUUGUAAUGAUGUUGACAUGAACAGAGAACUUGUCAAUGGGAUUUGAUAUUGACUUACAACAAUGGCUUUAGUGGCGGACUGGUGAGUAACACGUAAGCAACCUGCCUGUUAGAGGGGAAUAACAACGAGAAAUCGUUGCUAAUACCGCAUAUGCCAUAAUAACCACAUGGUUAUAGUGGGAAAGGAGCAAUCCGCUAACAGAUGGGCUUGCGUCUGAUUAGUUAGUUGGUGGGGUAACGGCCUACCAAGACUACGAUCAGUAGCCGGACUGAGAGGUUCAACGGCCACAUUGGGACUGAGAUACGGCCCAGACUCCUACGGGAGGCAGCAGUCGGGAAUAUUGCGCAAUGGAGGAAACUCUGACGCAGUGACGCCGCGUAUAGGAAGAAGGUUUUCGGAUUGUAAACUAUUGUCUGCAGGGAAGAAAAAGGACUGUACCUGCAAAGAAAGCUCCGGCUAACUACGUGCCAGCCGCCGC